rnacentral:rRNA from 1 species
UACGUAGGGGGCUAGCGUUGUCCGGAAUCAUUGGGCGUAAAGCGCGUGUAGGCGGUCCGGUAAGUCCGCUGUGAAAGUCGAGGGCUCAACCCUCGAAUGCCGGUGGAUACUGUCGGGCUAGAGUCCGGAAGAGGCGAGUGGAAUUCCUGGUGUAGCGGUGGAAUGCGCAGAUAUCAGGAGGAACACCGAUGGCGAAGGCAGCUCGCUGGGACGGUACUGACGCUGAGGCGCGAAAGCGUGGGGAGCGAACAGG